GAACUUCUUUGGUUUAGUGAUGCUAUGUUUUUGUGUCUGUUUGAUUGAUGGGAAAAUGUGAGUGAAAAUGAACAUCAAUUUGAUCCGUUGGUCUUUAUUUUGUCUAUUUUUUUGGUUUCUGGAAAAUGGAACAUUGACCUUGGCAUUAAAAGAGCUUGAUUAAUUUCUUCUGUUAGGCAUUAUCGCCAAUUGAUUGCUAAUGGCGUUAACAUGAGCUUGGAAUUUGUUUUUGUUUGGUGGGUUGGGGGCAACAACUAUACCAUGGGUGAUGAAAAAUUUUAGAUGGUUAUUUGGUAUGGAGGAAUCUUGAUUCAGCUAAGCUUUUGGUGUUGGAGAAUCUUGGGAUCAUAUUUGUUUUGCUAU
rnacentral:misc_RNA from 1 species